rnacentral:rRNA from 1 species
GGCGGCAGGCCUAAAACAUGCAAGUCGAACGAGCCCUUCGGGGUUAGUGGCGGACGGGUGAGUAACACGUGGGAACGUGCCCUUUGGUUCGGAACAACUCAGGGAAACUUGAGCUAAUACCGAAUGUGCCCUACGGGGGAAAGAUUUAUCGCCAUUGGAGCGGCCCGCGUCUGAUUAGCUAGUUGGUGAGGUAAAGGCUCACCAAGGCUACGAUCAGUAGCUGGUCUGAGAGGAUGAUCAGCCACACUGGGACUGAGACACGGCCCAGACUCCUACGGGAGGCAGCAGUUAGGAAUCUUGCGCAAUGGGCGAAAGCCUGACGCAGCCAUGCCGCGUGAAUGAUGAAGGUCUUAGGAUUGUAAAAUUCUUUCAGUGGGGAAGAUAAUGACGGUACCCACAGAAGAAGCUCCGGCUAACUUCGUGCCAGCAGCCGCGGUAAUACGAAGGGGGCUAGCGUUGCUCGGAAUUACUGGGCGUNAAGGGCGCGUAGGCGGAUGACUAAGUUGGGGGUGAAAGCCCGGGGCUCAACCUCGGAACUGCCUUCAAUACUGGUCAUCUUGA